rnacentral:lncRNA from 9 species
CGGGCCCACGCGCCCUCCCGCAUCCCGGCGGCGGCCGCCUGGGAAGCCAUGUGCUCGCUGGGGAGGGUGAGCCAGAGGCAGAGGAUGCUGAUUUGCCUUGGAUGCCGCCUAAGAGCCAACCACAGCGACUCUUCCAGUGGGACGAUGACAGGAGGAGGGGAAGAGAGAGGGCGGGGGCGGGGGAGGAGCCCUUCCACCGAGGCUUACUGGGUAAUUCCCGAUUGCGUGAGAGCGUCUUAGAGCCGCAGCCCUGAGCAAGGUCCAGACAUGGGCAAGUCAUUCCAAGUGAAAAAAGGUUAUAACCACAAAAAGACAGAACAUUUCGUUCUGAGUGGGAGGAAGACAGCUGGGCAAGGCCAAUGGAAAGGCCCCCCCCCCCCAGCCAGCCUUGCUUUUAAAGGACUGAUACCAUUUCCCAAAUGUUUUAAGCAUAACAUCUUUUUCCCCCCACCGACUGCUCAUUUUCUCGCGGCCAUCGGCUUGAAUGCAGCUAUUUGUGUCCUCUUUUUCUCAGGACUCACCUGGGGAGCUUGCAAAGGCCUGUGCCCAGCUUCCAAACCCUCACCCCCUUGAUCCACGUGGCCAGUUGAGCCCGACGUGCGGCCAAGGUUAAGAACCAUUGCUCUGGAGUUCUCGCCGUGGUUCAACAGGAGCAGCAGUGUCUCCGGAGCACCAAGACGCAGGUUCGAUCCCCGGCCCGGCACAGUGGGUUAAGGAUCUGGUGUGGCUACAACUGCAGGGUAGGUCUCCCCUGCCACUUGGAUCUGAUCCUUGACCCAGGAAGUCCAUAUGCGGCAGGGUGGCCAGAAAAAAAAAAAGAGAGAGAGAGAGAAAGAAAAAGAAACUAUUUCUCUGGCCCAGUUCCUCGUUUUACCAAUGGGGGCACUGAGCCCAGAGCAAGAGGGCCAACCUUAACUGUGGGAUCAAGCUGGCCCUGCUGCCCACUGUGUGAAUAGCUGGGACAGGGCUGUUUCUUGGGGCGUCAGUGUCCUUCCUCCUCUGGGAAAAGGGGAGGUUGGGGCAGUUUAUCUCUAGAGCCCAAGCCAGCCCUGCCAGUGUAUUCCUCUAUUCUUUAAAACAAUUUUUUUAUUAAAGUAUAGUUGAUUGACAGUGUUCCUUCAAUUUCUGCUGUACAGCGAGGUGACCCAGCCAUGUGUAUGUGUGUGUGUGUGUGUGUGUGUGUGUGCACAUGCAUGAGUGUGUGUAUACACACAACACAUUCUUUUUUCAAUUUUUUGUAAGAUUUUUAUUGUUUCUAUUAUAGUCGAUUUACAGUGUUCUGCCAAUUUUCUACUGUACAGCAAAGUGACCCAGUCACUCACUCACUCACACACACACACACACACACACACACACACAUUCUUCUUUUAAUUAAAAAAAUUUUUUGGGGGGUUUAUUUUUUUUAAUUGUAUUCAAUCACAUUAUCUUCCAUCAUGUUCCAUCACCAGUUUGAAUAUAGUUCCCUGUGCUAGCCAGCAGGAUCUCAUUGCUUAUCCACUCCAAAAGCAAUAGUUUGCAUCUAUUAACCCCAGACUCCCAGUCCCUCCCACUACCCCCCCCUUGGCAACCACAAGUCUGUUCUCCAAGUUCAUGAGCUUGUUUCUUUUCGGUACAAAUGUUCCUUUGUGGCAUUUAUUAGAUUCCAGAUAUAAGUGAUAUCAUAUGCUAUGUGUCUUUCUCUUUCUUGUUUUUCAUGCAGUCUUCCAUCGUCUUCCUCUAUUCCGACCCCAGGUGUGGCUUCAUGUGCUG